rnacentral:rRNA from 1 species
AAAUUGAAGAGUUUGAUCAUGGCUCAGAUUGAACGCUGGCGGCAGGCCUAACACAUGCAAGUCGAACGGUAACAGGAAGCAGCUUGCUGCUUUGCUGACGAGUGGCGGACGGGUGAGUAAUGUCUGGGAAACUGCCUGAUGGAGGGGGAUAACUACUGGAAACGGUAGCUAAUACCGCAUAAUGUCGCAAGACCAAAGAGGGGGACCUUCGGGCCUCUUGCCAUCGGAUGUGCCCAGAUGGGAUUAGCUAGUAGGUGGGGUAACGGCUCACCUAGGCGACGAUCCCUAGCUGGUCUGAGAGGAUGACCAGCCACACUGGAACUGAGACACGGUCCAGACUCCUACGGGAGGCAGCAGUGGGGAAUAUUGCACAAUGGGCGCAAGCCUGAUGCAGCCAUGCCGCGUGUAUGAAGAAGGCCUUCGGGUUGUAAAGUACUUUCAGCGGGGAGGAAGGGAGUAAAGUUAAUACCUUUGCUCAUUGACGUUACCCGCAGAAGAAGCACCGGCUAACUCCGUGCCAGCAGCCGCGGUAAUACGGAGGGUGCAAGCGUUAAUCGGAAUUACUGGGCGUAAAGCGCACGCAGGCGGUUUGUUAAGUCGGAUGUGAAAUCCCCGGGCUCAACCUGGGAACUGCAUCUGAUACUGGCAAGCUUGAGUCUCGUAGAGGGGGGUAGAAUUCCAGGUGUAGCGGUGAAAUGCGUAGAGAUCUGGAGGAAUACCGGUGGCGAAGGCGGCCCCCUGGACGAAGACUGACGCUCAGGUGCGAAAGCGUGGGGAGCAAACAGGAUUAGAUACCCUGGUAGUCCACGCCGUAAACGAUGUCGACUUGGAGGUUGUGCCCUUGAGGCGUGGCUUCCGGAGCUAACGCGUUAAGUCGACCGCCUGGGGAGUACGGCCGCAAGGUUAAAACUCAAAUGAAUUGACGGGGGCCCGCACAAGCGGUGGAGCAUGUGGUUUAAUUCGAUGCAACGCGAAGAACCUUACCUGGUCUUGACAUCCACGGAAGUUUUCAGAGAUGAGAAUGUGCCUUCGGGAACCGUGAGACAGGUGCUGCAUGGCUGUCGUCAGCUCGUGUUGUGAAAUGUUGGGUUAAGUCCCGCAACGAGCGCAACCCUUAUCCUUUGUUGCCAGCGGUUUGGCCGGGAACUCAAAGGAGACUGCCAGUGAUAAACUGGAGGAAGGUGGGGAUGACGUCAAGUCAUCAUGGCCCUUACGACCAGGGCUACACACGUGCUACAAUGGCGCAUACAAAGAGAAGCGACCUCGCGAGAGCAAGCGGACCUCAUAAAGUGCGUCGUAGUCCGGAUUGGAGUCUGCAACUCGACUCCAUGAAGUCGGAAUCGCUAGUAAUCGUGGAUCAGAAUGCCACGGUGAAUACGUUCCCGGGCCUUGUACACACCGCCCGUCACACCAUGGGAGUGGGUUGCAAAAGAAGUAGGUAGCUUAACCUUCGGGAGGGCGCUUACCACUUUGUGAUUCAUGACUGGGGUGAAGUCGUAACAAGGUAACCGUAGGGGAACCUGCGGUUGGAUCACCUCCUUACCUUAAAGAA